CCAUAAAAAGCGUCGUUACUCAAUCAAAACGCUCAUUAUUGUGAUAUUUGUAAACAUUAAAGCAUCUCUCAUCUAGCAGAAACAUGAAAUUCUUCUACAUCUUCGCUUUGAUUUUCUCCAUGGUCCUCAUGGCUUUUGGAGAUCAUCACACUUGCCCAACUGGCUUCGAUCAUCACGAAAAUGACUGUGUCGUUUCGCGUCCCGUGCAUGGCGAAUGUCCUGCAGGAACAACUUUUAAGGCAGCUACCAACAAGUGUCAUCAUAACACUGCUCACCAUUAAAAGGGAGAUUCUUUGUAUACAAUAAAGGCAUUUGUUUGUUUGUGCAUGAACUGAAGAUCUUA